AUGAGGACGAACAGUAGCUACUCUGGCAGCGAGGACAAGAUGAGAAGACAGAUGAGCUGGGCCGAGCAAGUCGACAUCGCUUACCCCCUGGAUGAGUGCUGGAGUGAGAGCUGCCUGACAGAUCCCCAUGUCUGCAUGGAGGACCACCUCAUACCCAGGAAGAGGUCAGGAGAGAGGAGGCCUAAGCACGUCACCUUUGACCUGAAUCCCCAUGUCUGCAUGGAGGACCACCAAAUACCCAGGGAGAAGUCGGGAGAGAGGAGGCCUAAGGAGGUGGUCACCCUGGACCAGGCUCAGGACCACUGGAACACCUUUGACCUGAGUUGGCUGGACACCGUUGGGCCGGAUUGGCUCAGGAACGCAGAGGAGCUGACCCCAAAGGGGCAAAUAGACAUACUAUCAAGUCUCCUGUAUACGGGACAUCCCAGCACUCUGUUCACAAGAGUUGUUAACAGCAGACAGAAUGUUGGAGGGUACUGCUAUGUCCAUUCCACAGUUCCACCUGUCUUCUGUACAUGAGGAUAUAGGAGGAGAGGGGAGGGGAGGGACAGAACAUAUCCAUAUGUGAAAAAUAUGAGCACAUAGUAUUUAUACUGUAUGUUUCUAAACUACAAUUGAAUGCACUUAUGUACUCACAAGGGGGUGGGGGUAUGGAUGGUCAUCCUUGAAAUCUUUUAUUUAUUAUUUUAUUUAUUUAUUUUCACAACUAGAUGAAAUAAAAACUAUCUUUCUACCUUUCUAAAUCUGCCA
rnacentral:lncRNA from 1 species